rnacentral:rRNA from 1 species
AUUGAACGCUGGCGGCGUGCCUAACACAUGCAAGUCGAGCGGUAACAGGUGUAGCAAUACAUGCUGACGAGCGGCGAACGGGUGAGUAAUGCUUCGGAAUCUACCCAAUGGUGGGAAUAACCAGCCGAAAGGUUGGCUAAUACCGCAUACGUCCCACGGGAGAAAGCAGGGGAUCGCAAGACCUUGCGCCAAUGGAUGAGCCGAAGUCGGAUUAGCUAGUUGGAGGGUAACGGCCUACCAAGGCGACGAUCCGUAGCUGGUCUGAGAGGACGACCAGCCACACUGGGACUGAGACACGGCCCAGACUCCUACGGGAGGCAGCAGUGGGGAAUAUUGGACAAUGGGGGAAACCCGUCGAUCCAGCGACGCCGCCGUGUGUGAAG